rnacentral:tRNA from 1 species
GAAGGUGUAGCUCAGUGGUAGAGGACGUGCCUAGGAUUCACGAGGUCCAGGGUUCAAUCCCCAGUCCCUCCA